rnacentral:lncRNA from 1 species
GGGACUUAAGGGCCCUGGAGCAGCUAGCCGGCCUGUGUGCUCUCUGCUGUCUGCAACUCCUCAAAAGAAAAAGAAACCCACUUUGAGCCCUAGGGUGAAUGUCAGAUAUUGGAAAGGUGGUCAGUGGCUCUCCGUGAUGUUCCAAAUGUCUUCAGUAGCCAGUACAGGCCAUCCAAAUUACCCUCCGAAUUCGCUUAUUACCAAAUUGUCUUCCUUUAAAUAAAUGAAUCAAAUGGGGCAAGAGCCAUUUGCCAAAGAAAAAUCUUACCUUUUCGGGGUAAAAAUUCAUAGCUAAGAAAAUUCAUCCUUCUGCUCCCAAUACUGAAAUAUAAUAAAAACUAAUUCUUAAAUAUUUGAACCCCUUAAUUUUGCUCAAUUAUAUGAUAUAGUUCCAUCUUCUACCUCCUCAGCUCCUUUUGUCUGUUUGUUUUUAAUAUUCCAAACUGCAUGCAUCACCAUCACCAUUCUUUUCCUGAUGCCAGAAACCUAGAGGACCAACUUCGGGAGUCUUGGGAGCGUUGUCAAGCAUGGGCCUUGAACUGUUGAUCAGCACUCACUGAGAAACAGCUACCUGGAAAGCUUUGCCACUAUCUUGGGCUAAACUAGUGAAGAGACCAUAUGUCAGAGAAAGUGUCCCUGGUGGAAAAUUGUCUAAGUGUGACCAACAACAGGCUUGUUUUACCUAGGAUGUUAUUACAAGUAGUCUCAAAUCCCUUUGGGAAUAUAUUAAGUAUAUAUUUAAACAUAUGCAAUUUUAUAACUGUCGAUAGCUGUCAAUAAAUCAAAAUGGAC